UAUACAUGCAAGUCGAGCGGACCGACGGGAGCUUGCUCCCUUAGGUCAGCGGCGGACGGGUGAGUAACACGUGGGUAACCUGCCUGUAAGACUGGGAUAACUCCGGGAAACCGGGGCUAAUACCGGAUGCUUGAUUGAACCGCAUGGUUCAAUCAUGAAAGGCGGCUUCGGCUGCCGUUUACAGAUGGACCCGCGGCGCAUUAGCUAGUUGGUGAGGUAACGGCUCACCAAGGCGACGAUGCGUAGCCGACCUGAGAGGGUGAUCGGCCACACUGGGACUGAGACACGGCCCAGACUCCUACGGGAGGCAGCAGUAGGGAAUCUUCCGCAAUGGACGAAAGUCUGACGGAGCAACGCCGCGUGAGUGAUGAAGGUUUUCGGAUCGUAAAGCUCUGUUGUUAGGGAAGAACAAGUACCGUUCGAAUAGGGCGGUACCUUGACGGUACCUAACCAGAAAGCCACGGCUAACUACGUGCCAGCAGCCGCGGUAAUACGUAGGUGGCAAGCGUUGUCCGGAAUUAUUGGGCGUAAAGCGCGCGCAGGCGGUUUCUUAAGUCUGAUGUGAAAGCCCCCGGCUCAACCGGGGAGGGUCAUUGGAAACUGGGGAACUUGAGUGCAGAAGAGGAGAGUGGAAUUCCACGUGUAGCGGUGAAAUGCGUAGAGAUGUGGAGGAACACCAGUGGCGAAGGCGACUCUCUGGUCUGUAACUGACGCUGAGGCGCGAAAGCGUGGGGAGCGAACAGGA
rnacentral:rRNA from 1 species